rnacentral:lncRNA from 1 species
UCAACAGUGCCAAAUCUGCCCAGCCUCUCUUGCCUGUUGGCUACUUCCAUGGUUUUUCAGUGGCUGAGUGAUGUGUGGAAAAGCAAUUGUUGAAAAUCAGAUAUUGCAGGUAGAGCCCACUCAUUCCUGUCCUCCUUUCUGUGGUGCAACUGGUAAAUGCUGGUAAUUAUUUGAGCUUAUGAGCACUGUAUCCACUAACAGUAGCUGCUAAAUAUUGCUACUGUUAAAUCCUGGAAUAAUGCAAUUGCACACGUUAAUUUUGUCUUAAUUGCUCACUCUAAUUGCAGGUUAGAUGCAAUCAAAGCCACACUGCCUGGCAAAUGCACUGUGUACACCACAAGAAAGCCUGGUGGAGGGGUUUUCUUUCUUUAAAUUGAAUCUACCACAAUUGCAUGUUUUUUCUUCAGAUGUACAAUUAGAUAUUAUUACUCUAAUUCUGUAACUGCACAAUAAUCAACCAAAAAAUUACUUUGAUAAAUAAAACAAAACAGAACAAGGAAAUUUUCUCUGCAAGAGGAACAAAAAAGAGCAUGUCAAAGGUUUCAAGGCAAGCCCACAGAAGGAAACAAUGGCUGGCUGAAUGAUUCACCUCUGCUAAGUGAAUUACUCUGUGCCUGUGCUGCAGGGAAGCUGUUCCAGCCAUGGAGCCAUCAAAGAACUUGUGCAUGCCCUGGCACUGCAGAAUUCUGCCCCAGCAUGCCAUGGCUCAUCCACUAUCCUAGAGAAGCCCUUCCAGAAGCCUGGACACUUUGUGGUACAUUGAUGAUUUUUGUACGUAUCAAGUAAUGGAUUUGUCCAGAUGCUCAGAUGAUGAACAGCCACUGCUUCUGCCAGAACUAUGGUAACACCAAAAUCAAGUCUUCACAUGGAAGAUGAGGUUGGCCUUGAGAAACUGAAUAAGACAAAGAGUGCCAGAGACAAAUGUUACUUGUCCUCUUUUACAGAUGAAUGAUACACAAGGAACUAAAAACUUCUAUUUUUUGUGAAAACUUGUACCAUAGCUUUUAAAAAAAAUGUGGAAGGAGUCAGUAAUAGGAGACAGCAGUGAGUGAAAAAUGGGGCGUACUCUGAUACAGGCUUAGCAGAGGGAGUAGUCUACUAGACUAGCCAGAGAGCUUUAUGGGAAUAAAAACUCGAUUUUCUAGACUGGACUCUUCA